rnacentral:rRNA from 1 species
AUUGAACGCUGGCGGCAUGCCUUACACAUGCAAGUCGAACGGCAGCACGGGUGCUUGCCCCUGGUGGCGAGUGGCGAACGGGUGAGUAAUACAUCGGAACAUGUCCUGUAGUGGGGGAUAGCCCGGCGAAAGCCGGAUUAAUACCGCAUACGAUCUACGGAUGAAAGCGGGGGACCUUCGGGCCUCGCGCUAUAGGGUUGGCCGAUGGCUGAUUAGCUAGUUGGUGGGGUAAAGGCUUACCAAGGCGACGAUCAGUAGCUGGUCUGAGAGGGCGACCAGCCACACUGGGACUGAGACACGGCCCAGACUCCUACGGGAGGCAGCAGUGGGGAAUUUUGGACAAUGGGCGAAAGCCUGAUCCAGCAAUGCCGCGUGUGUGAAGAAGGUCUUCGGGUUGUAAAGCACUUUUGUCCGGAAAGAAAUCCUUGGCCCUAAUACGGUCGGGGGAUGACGGUACCGGAAGAAUAAGCACCGGCUAACUACGUG